AACAGACAAAGAAUAGUGGCUAAGAGGAUUAAGCCCAGAAUGAAAGAAUGCUUGUGGAAAAGGAAAAAGACGUCAAGAGUUAUUUCUAAAUUAACCUCCUCAGAGCAAGAAGAUGUGAGAGGAGUGAUCACUGCUUGGGAAGAUAACAAAAAUUAUAAGAAGGGAGAAGGCAGAACUACUAUACUACCCUUGCUUGCCUGGAAAGAUCAGAACAGACCUCACAGCUUGUCCGAAUAACUAAGUUCUGGCCGACGGGAUAUGAACAGAACUGACUUUUACCGUUUCUGGAGCGUGUCCUGAAGAGAAAUCUUUCCUCUGGCCCUUUCCUAUUUCCUGCUGGAAGAUGAUGAGAACUGAAAUGGCAGCCUUGGACCUCAAGACGGAAGCUGCAUUUUGAAGAUGACAGAAUCUCCUUAUAGCUUUGAACUAAUGUGACAGAGAAAAUGAACUCCCACCUUGUUUCAGCUGUUGUUUCUUUGGAUCUCUUUGUUAUUGCAGCUGAAAGAAUGAGGGGAACUCUGAAAGAGGAAAGGUCUCGAUGCGAGUCUAAUAAGCACUAACAAUUAAGGGAUGUGUGUGGCAGAGAGUCCUCAUACGGGAAAUUGAUGAAGAGACUUUGCAGUUGAGGAUUAUCCUGGCUACACCAAGACUAACAAAGAAACGAAGGAACAAAGCCCAUGAACCCAGGAGACCUGGAAGUUA